rnacentral:rRNA from 1 species
CCGACUGCUAUUUGGGUGAGGAUAAGCUAUGCGAGUUGAAUGGGAAACCUAAAGUUCCCAUGGCAAACUGCUCAGUAACACAUGAUCAACUUACCCUAUAGAGAAAAAUAACCUCGGGAAACUGAGGAUAAUGUUUCAUAGUUGAAUUGGCUUGGAAAAGUCUUUCGACGAAAGGGGUAAAAAAAAUGGUUUUUAUCUGCUAUAGGAUAGGAUCGUGUUCGAUUAUGGUUGUUGGUGAGGUAAUGGCUCACCAAGCCGAUAAUCGAUAGGGGCCGUGAGAGCGGGAGCCCCGAGAUGGGUACUGAGACAACGACCCAGGCCUUACGAGGCGCAGCAGGCGCGAAACCUCCGCAAUACACGAAAGUGUGACGGGGUUACCCAAAGUGUUCAAUUUUGAACUGUGGUAGGUGAGUAAUGUUCCCUACUAGAAAGGAGAGGGCAAGGCUGGUGCCAGCCGCCGCGGUAAAACCAGCUCUUCAAGUGGUCGGGAUAAUUAUUGGGCUUAAAGUGUCCGUAGCCGGUUUAGUAAGUUCCUGGUAAAAUCGGGUAGCUUAACUAUCUAUAUGCUAGGAAUACUACUAUACUAGAGGGCGGGAGAGGUCUGAGGUACUACAGGGGUAGGGGUGAAAUCUUAUAAUCCUUGUUGGACCACCAGUGGCGAAGGCGUCAGACUGGAACGCGCCUGACGGUGAGGGACGAAAGCCAGGGGAGCGAACCGGAUUAGAUACCCGGGUAGUCCUGGCCGUAAACGAUGCAUACUAGGUGAUGGCACGGCCAUGAGCCGUGUCAGUGCCGUAGGGAAACCGUUAAGUGUGCCGCCUGGGAAGUACGGUCGCAAGGCUAAAACUUAAAGGAAUUGGCGGGGGAGCACCACAAGGGGUGAAGCCUGCGGUUCAAUUGGAGUCAACGCCGGG